ACCAUGAAGAAAGCCUAUCAGAGGCUAUUGGUGAAAGUGCAGCCCAAUUAUGGUGGCAGACCCCUACAUUUUGGAGAUGCCAGUGCCAUGGGAUGACCACCAAGAACAGCAUCAGCAGUGUAGGGGAGCUUGUCAGAGCUUAAAAGACAAAUUGUGUGUUAUGCAGAGGUCAGAGCUGGAGAAGUGACCUAAGUCCCUUUGGAGGAGCCCAGAAGAUCAUGAGUGGAUCCCAGACACUGGACAUUGUGCUAUUUACACUGUUGAAGGUUUAAUUUUGCUUUGAUCUGAUUGUGACUGCGCCCUGGUUCUUCCUUCUUGAAACCUGAUUACUGAGUGAAUUCCUGUGAGAGCCCAGCGUGAGUACAGAGGCUGUGGAAACACCCCAUGGUAUGUAUAAUGUUCCAGGCUACAACUUCCUCUUAAAGGGAUCCAGGAAAAGGCCACGUGUUGCCAAGGGG